UACGAAGGGUGCAAGCGUUACUCGGAAUUACUGGGCGUAAAGGGCGCCGGUAGGCGGCCUGUUUAAGUCGAACGUGAAAUCCCUGGGCUCAACCCAGGACUGCGUCCGAUACUGGCAGGCUUGAAUCCGGGAGAGGGUGCGGAAUUCCAGGUGUAGCGGUGAAAUGCGUAGAUAUCUGGAGGAACACCGUGGCGAAGGCGGCAUCCUGGACCGGCAUU
rnacentral:rRNA from 1 species